GUAUAUGCAACACAAAAUAUUUAUAUUCCUUGUGUAAACAUAAUUUAAUUGAUUAGGAUGAAAAUGUUUUGUUUGAAUGUAAAAUAAACACAUUAUUCUCACAUUGAUUAAAAUUGAUUGAAUUGAAUACUUAAAGCAAUAAAAUUGAGUUUGCACACAAAAUGGCACCUCCUGAGCAGAAGGUGGCAGUAACGCUCAAUAAAAAGGACGUCAAUCGCCAUAAAAGAAGAAUAAACAUCGUUUGUUUUGGGCGCCAAAAUGAAGACUCAGCAGCAGUCAGUCAGAAGAACUCUCUCAGACGGACACCACGUUAUUAAAGUCCAUCAUCCUUGCACACACUCAAAAGCAUUGAUAAAUGCUGAAUUUAAAAGAAUCACUACUGUCUUAUGUUCCUGUGUCACCUGGACCUCCAAUCCAAAAACCUGAUGAAACUCUUCUAUCAGAAAGGAGGACAGCUAGCAAAAAGACUUUGAACAAUCAAUGAUCAAAUGACAGAAGGCAUGGAUGAAGUCAGCAUCAGCGAGGUCAUUUGAAGACACCACUGUUGGGAUUUGUGCUCUCAAACAACAUCCUUCUUGUGAUGAAGAAGAGGAUCUUUGUAUAGUCCUGGAAGGCAUGAAGGUGUUGCAACAUCGUGCCAUGUUGUUUGAGCUGAUGUUUGCCUUAAACCUGAGCUAUCCUGAUCUCCGCUUUAUUUUUGAGGAAAUCCAAAAGAUUUUAAUGGAACUGCAUUGACCGUAACUUUAACGAACAGUUUCUUUCAGUGAAAGGAUCAGAAAGACUGUGCUGCUCAUUUUAGUUAUCUGUUUUAAGUGUUUUCUCUUAUUUAAACAUUAACAGUUUGCUGCUCAGAGUUGAUUUUGGAAAUGGUUGUUGUAUUUUGUUUUUGUUGAAUCUUUGAUUAACAGUUUAUACAACUGCUGUAGCUCUGACUUUCUGAAGGAUUGAUAUUUUCCAGUUUGUAAAUCAAUUUUAAAAAUAAUAGUACUUACUGUUUUGCAUGUCUCUUUGGAAUGCAGUGUUUGUGUUUUAGCACUUCUAAAUCUACUGUGAUAGUAACUAUUUUAAACAUUUGGGUCAGUUUCACAGAUGGGGCUUUUCCUAGUCCCAGACUUUUGCAAUGCCUUAAUUUGAAAACAUAUUGCACUGACAUAUCGUGACAUAUAUGAGUGCCAUUGUUUUGUCUCAAGAUGUACUCCAGUGUUGUUUUUGUAAGGUAGGUUUGUUUGUAAACUUUUUUUUGUAAAAAAUAUCCUAAUAUAACUAGGGCCUAGUCAUGGAUUAAUCUACAACCUGUCUGGGAAAUUGCCCCUUUGUAUGUACUGCAUGUGCUGAUUGUUGUAAUAGUUAUUGACUGUUAAUGAAUUAAUGUGUAAUGAUGUCAUUGAAUUGAUGAUCUGAAAGCAGUGGUUUGCCUCAAUAUCACUAAACAUUUGUUCAAAACUCUUUGCUUUUUAUGCCAAUGCAAAUGUAUUUUGUAUUUAAAAAAGAAAUAAAUAACAUUUGGAUAAUUAUGGGUGAUUAUUCUGGUGCCAGAGACAUAAUGAAAUUGUUUUAGAGUUAAAUAAUCCCAUAAUAUAAGCAUUAAAAAAGUAUGUUGGAAUUACAGAUGAAAAUCUAGUC